rnacentral:lncRNA from 1 species
AUCAGAUGGCUGCAGUAGGUUGAGAGGAUCAGAAGGGCUCACCGGCCUUCACACUUUUGGCACCAAGGCCAAUCCUAGAGCUCACCCUAGGACCACAGGGAAGACAAACCAACCUGGAAGGGAUAAACUUCGAAGCCAAAAGGACACAAGGUGUCCUCAAUCUUCUGCUUCAGCUCUGCGACUCGCGGCUCCAUAACGCACGCUGAACGCUGAGCUUGCUGGGAAAUGGAGUCUCAUAGCUAACUUAGGCUUGUAUGCGUCCAUCAGGGCUGGACUACAUUUCCCAAGAAGUAAAGGAAUAGUAACGG